CCCCCCCGCCUUGCCGUUGAUCUGACCUCUUAGUGAACCACACGUGACAUCCCCGACGUCCUCCUCCAGCAUCAUCUGCGCCAGAGGAUCUCUGGGAACGAGUGCGGCGGCCGCAGGGUGUAGUUUGGCGGCGCGCUGAUGGAUGCCGCGCAGAGCAUGGGCAAGUCUACUUGAUCCCAAUCAAGUAGCACCUCUGUCGUCCAAGAUCUGGUAUUAUCAUGUUUGUUGGCGCUUGCUAUAACUCUGAGGUGCUUGCUACGUUUAACUGGGCGAGGAGACUACGACUAUAACGCUUCUACAGUUGAAGGCGAUGUACUCCUGUCCUUCAGUAGUUUUAUCCAUGUGCAACCGUACAUGCUAUAGGUACACAAUGUUCUACUUCUCCAUCUUUUGUUUGCUUGAUUAAUACUCCCUUUGUAAACUAAUAUAAGAGCGUUUAGAUCACUGUUUUAGUAUUCUAAAUGCUCUUAUAUUAGUUUACGGAGGGAGUACGUAUCAAUAUUCAAUUUUGCUCGACCGUCAUUGCCCAGUCUCAGAUGCUCAUGUUUCUUUGUCUUGUUUCUUGAGAGGAUGUUGUUUUUCAGAUAAGGGCCUGACAACGAAUUAGCGCUUCUUGAUGUGCAACCUAAUCCUACUUCCCAAAUUCAUAUAUAACUAUUUGGCAGGUUUGGUAUGUACAAGCCCCAUCUUAUUCUUUAUUUCAGGUUCUUUCAAGAAUCAAGGCCGCCAAGGACAACCCAGGCCUGUUAGUAAUACAUAAUUGUAUUUCUGUUCCUUUAAAAAAAUGUAGUAGUUGUGCUUCAGUUCUGUAAGUAGAAAGUGCAGGCUGCAUAUUGUAAGAAACUCAUCGAUUAACAAGAUGCAUGGUGUAUACUUCUGUCUCUCCCCUGACCUUUACUUUUCUCUCUAGAUGUUCUCUUCUUUUAAUCCUUGCCGCUCUGGUUGCUCUGUAUACAGUGCUGCCUGCUUAUGAAAUUAAAAGUCAACAUGCACUUGCUGGGUAUUUACUACAUCUACAAGCCUUUUAGAAAUUGUUGCUUUGGUUGGAACAAAAAAGAUAAAAAUAUCCGAAGUCGGGAAUUCUGUGUAGAAAAUACAACCUACAGCUACCAGGCUUAUAUAAAUUGUUCUCAUUCUCAGGCUAUACUAACUAUUUGCUUACAAUAUUGCUUGAUACCUCUGGAUGUUUGGAGCAUAUAUCUCAGCUUUAGCUCAUGCCUUGCUUGAUGCUAAAUUUUAGGUGCUCUUUAUCGCUACAAUCAUAUGGGCGCCAUAGUUUAUUGUUAUGUCCAUAUUUCAUUUUUUUCCCAAGUCAUUAUAAUCCAAUCCAUUAUACUAAAAUUCUUUCCGUGCUCUUACCUGCCAAUUUGAACAAAUGAGGAUUGAAACAACUACACUGUAGUGUGAAAUCUCUUUAUGUUCAUACAAACAUAUAGAUUCUUUAACAAUACGAAUGUAAAUAUCAAUAACUCAUUGUAUCUUAAGCUCAUGCCAUAUUUCCUAUUCAUUCAUUAGGCACAAGUUUUUCUCCAAAUCCACUCAUAGAAGAUAGAAAGUUCCGCAGCAAUGCACGGGGUAUCAUCUAGUAUAUAUAAAUAA